rnacentral:rRNA from 1 species
UACGUAGGGUGCAAGCGUUGUCCGGAAUUAUUGGGCGUAAAGAGCUCGUAGGCGGUUUGUCGCGUCUGCUGUGAAAACUCGGGGCUUAACCCCGGGCCUGCAGUGGGUACGGGCAGACUAGAGUGCGGUAGGGGAGACUGGAAUUCCUGGUGUAGCGGUGAAAUGCGCAGAUAUCAGGAGGAACACCAACGGCGAAAGCACUCUGCUGGGCCGACACUGACACUGAGAGACGAAAGCUAGGGGAGCGAAUGGG